AGAACGAACGCUGGCGGCAUGCCUAAUACAUGCAAGUCGAACGAACACUUCGGUGUUAGUGGCGCACGGGUGCGUAACGCGGGGGAAUCUGCCCUUGGGUUCGGAAUAACAGUUGGAAACGACUGCUAAUACCGGAUGAUAUCGAAAGAUCAAAGAUUUAUCGCCCAGGGAUGAGCCCGCGUAGGAUUAGCUAGUUGGUGAGGUAAAGGCUCACCAAGGCGACGAUCCUUAGCUGGUCUGAGAGGAUGAUCAGCCACACUGGGACUGAGACACGGCCCAGACUCCUACGGGAGGCAGCAGUAGGGAAUAUUGGACAAUGGGCGAAAGCCUGAUGCAGCGACGCCGCGUGAGGGAUGACGGCCUUCGGUUGUAAACCUCUUUCAGUAGGGAAGAAGCGAAAGUGACGUACUGCAGAAGAAGCGCCGGCUAACUACGUGCCAGCAGCCGC
rnacentral:rRNA from 1 species